rnacentral:rRNA from 1 species
UACGUAGGGUGCGAGCGUUUAAUCGGAAUACUGGGCGUAAAGCGUGCGCAGGCGGCGCGUUAAGACAGGUGUGAAAGCCCCGAGCUUAACUUGGGAAUUGCGCUUGUGACUGGCGUGCUGGAGUGUGGCAGAGGGAGGUGGAAUUCCACGUGUAGCAGUGAAAUGCGUAGAGAUGUGGAGGAACACCGAUGGCGAAGGCAGCCUCCUGGGCCAGCACUGACGCUCAUGCACGAAAGCGUGGGGAGCAAACAGG